rnacentral:rRNA from 1 species
UAAGGAAUAUUGGUCAAUGGACGCAAGUCUGAACCAGCCGUGCCGCGUGAAGGAUUAAGGCCCUCUGGGUUGUAAACUUCUUUUAUAGGGGAAGAAAUGUGACGGUUCUCCGUCACUUGACGGUACCCUGGGAAUAAGCACCGGCUAACUCCGUGCCAGCAGCCGCGGUAAUACGGAGGGUGCAAGCGUUAUCCGGAUUCACUGGGUUUAAAGGGUGCGUAGGUGGGCAGAUAAGUCAGUGGUGAAAUCUUCCGGCUUAACCGGGAAACUGCCGUUGAUACUAUUUGUCUUGAAUAUUGCGGAGGUAAGCGGAAUAUGUCAUGUAGCGGUGAAAUGCUUAGAUAUGACAUAGAACACCAAUUGCGAAGGCAGCUUACUACACAAUCAUUGACACUGAGGCACGAAAGCGUGGGUAGCGAACA